GAAUUCGCCCUUAGAGUUUUAUCCUGGCUCAGGACGAACGCUGGCGGCGUGCUUAACACAUGCAAGUCGAGCGGGGAUGUUCGGAGUGCUUGCACACUGAACAUUUCAGCGGCGGACGGGUGAGUAACGCGUGAACAAUCUGUCCCAUACAGGGGGAUAACAGAUGGAAACAUCUGCUAAUACCGCAUAAGACCACGAAGCCACAUGGCUAUGGGGUAAAAGGAGCAAUCCGGUAUGGGGUGAGUUCGCGUCCGAUUAGCUGGUUGGUGAGGUAACGGCCCACCAAGGCGACGAUCGGUAGCCGACCUGAGAGGGUGAUCGGCCACACUGGAACUGAGAGACGGUCCAGACUCCUACGGGAGGCAGCAGUGGGGAAUAUUGCACAAUGGAGGGAACUCUGAUGCAGCGAUGCCGCGUGGAGGAAGAAGGUUUUCGGAUUGUAAACUCCUUUUAUCAGGGACGAUAAUGACGGUACCUGAAGAAAAAGCUCCGGCUAACUACGUGCCAGCAGCCGCGGUAAUACGUAGGGAGCGAGCGUUGUCCGGAAUUACUGGGUGUAAAGGGAGCGUAGGCGGGAUAGCAAGUCAGAUGUGAAAACUAUGGGCUCAACCUGUAGAUUGCAUUUGAAACUGUUAUUCUUGAGUGGAGUAGAGGCAAGCGGAAUUCCGAGUGUAGCGGUGAAAUGCGUAGAUAUUAGGAGGAACAUCGGUGGCGAAGGCGGCUUACUGGGCUUUUACUGACGCUGAGGCUCGAAAGUGUGGGUAGCAAACAGGAUUAGAUACCCUGGUAGUCCACACCGUAAACGAUGA
rnacentral:rRNA from 1 species